rnacentral:rRNA from 1 species
CCUACGGGUUGCUGCAGUGAGGAAUAUUGGUCAAUGGGCGCGAGCCUGAACCAGCCAAGUAGCGUGAAGGAUGACUGCCCUACGGGUUGUAAACUUCUUUUAUAAAGGAAUAAAGUGAGGCACGUGUGCCUUUUUGUAUGUACUUUAGGAAUAAGGAUCGGCUCACUCCGUGCCAGCAGGCGCGGUAAUACGGAGGAUCCGAGCGUUCUCCGGAUUUAUUGGGUUUAAAGGGAGCGUAGAUGGGUUGUUAAGUCAGUUGUGAAAGGUUGCGGCUCAACCGUAAAAUUGCAAUUGAUACUGGCAGCCUUGAGUACAGUUGAGGUAGGCGGAAUGCGUGGUGUAGCGGUGAAAUGCUUAGAUAUCACGAAGAACUCCGAUUGCGAAGGCAGCCUACUAAACUGCCACUGACAUUGCUUCUCGAAAGUGUGGGUAUCAAACAGGAUUAGAUAACCCUGUAGUC